UACAGAGGGUGCAAGCGUUAAUCGGAAUUACUGGGCGUAAAGCGUGCGUAGACGGUUACAUAAGUCGGGUGUGAAAGCCCCGGGCUCAACCUGGGAAUUGCAUUCGAGACUGCGUAGCUAGGGUGCGGAAGAGGGAAGCGGAAUUUCCGGUGUAGCGGUGAAAUGCGUAGAUAUCGGAAGGAACACCAGUGGCGAAGGCAGCUCGCUGGGACGUGACUGACGCUGAGACGCGAAAGCGUGGGGAGCAAACAGG
rnacentral:rRNA from 1 species